AGCGGGUGCACGUGUGAGAUUUCAUCACAGUGACAUGCCUGGAAGUGGAAGCACAGGGAAGGCAUGGCAGGUGGCUGAGCAAGGGCCGCAGCGCUGGCCCGUCUGCCCCUCCCGCUGAGCCCUAUCCAGGCCCUUGGAUUUCCCCACCCUUUCAUGUUGAAAUCGAGAGGCAAUGGGCUGGCCUCGGAAGGUAUGUUUGCCUCAGUCUCCCAGGAGUUGGGUGUUCAUCCGGAGAUGCAGUUUUCUCAGUGAGGUCAGAUCAGGAGAUGCUUGGUGCUCUGAGGAAGCACAGAAUGAGAGACAAGAACAAUUCCAGGAAUGGACUCUGCAUUGGAGUGUUUCGGGGCAUCCUCUGAGAAAAGGAAAUGAUCUCUUGAUAAUCCAAGAUGCUGUGGAAGUCUCCCCUCCGAGCAACAACAGACCAAGCCAGACUUCAAACUAUGGCAAGUGGAAAACAUUGCCUUAAGAACAGUUUUUUAAUACAAACACAUAAAAAUUAAGCCAUUCUUCACCA